GGAGAGUUUGAUCCUGGCUCAGGAUGAACGCUGGCGGCGUGCUUAACACAUGCAAGUCGAACGAACCUUCGGGUUAGUGGCGGACGGGUGAGUAACGCGUGAGAAUCUGCCCUCAGGAGGGGGAUAACGGCUGGAAACGGCCGCUAAUACCCCAUAUGCCGAGAGGUGAAAUGAAUUUCGCCUGAGGAUGAGCUCGCGUCUGAUUAGCUAGUUGGUAGGGUAAAGGCCUACCAAGGCUUCGAUCAGUAGCUGGUCUGAGAGGAUGAUCACCCACACUGGGACUGAGACACGGCCCAGACUCCUACGGGAGGCAGCAGUGGGGAAUUUUCCGCAAUGGGCGAAAGCCUGACGGAGCAACGCCGCGUGAGGGAUGAAGGCCUCUGGGCUGUAAACCUCUUUUAUCAAGGAAGAAGAUCUGACGGUACUUGAUGAAUAAGCCACGGCUAAUUCCGUGCCAGCAGCCGCGGUAAUACGGGAGUGGCAAGCGUUAUCCGGAAUUAUUGGGCGUAAAGCGUCCGCAGGCGGUCUUACAAGUCUGUCGUUAAAGCGUGGAGCUUAACUCCAUUUCAGCGAUGGAAACUGUAAGACUAGAGUGUGGUAGGGGCAGAGGGAAUUCCCGGUGUAGCGGUGAAAUGCGUAGAUAUCGGGAAGAACACCAGUGGCGAAGGCGCUCUGCUGGGCCAUAACUGACGCUCAUGGACGAAAGCCAGGGGAGCGAAAGGGAUUAGAUACCCCUGUAGUCCUGGCCGUAAACGAUGAACACUAGGUGUCGGGGGAAUCGACCCCCUCGGUGUCGUAGCCAACGCGUUAAGUGUUCCGCCUGGGGAGUACGCACGCAAGUGUGAAACUCAAAGGAAUUGACGGGGGCCCGCACAAGCGGUGGAGUAUGUGGUUUAAUUCGAUGCAACGCGAAGAACCUUACCAGGGUUUGACAUCCUGCGAAUCCCUUGGAAACGAGGGAGUGCCUUCGGGAACGCAGUGACAGGUGGUGCAUGGCUGUCGUCAGCUCGUGUCGUGAGAUGUUGGGUUAAGUCCCGCAACGAGCGCAACCCACGUCUUUAGUUGCCAGCAUUUAGUUGGGCACUCUAGAGAGACUGCCGGUGAUAAACCGGAGGAAGGUGUGGAUGACGUCAAGUCAUCAUGCCCCUUACAUCCUGGGCUACACACGUACUACAAUGCUACGGACAAAGGGCAGCAAACUCGCGAGAGCUAGCAAAUCCCAUAAACCGUGGCUCAGUUCAGAUCGUAGGCUGCAACUCGCCUACGUGAAGGAGGAAUCGCUAGUAAUCGCAGGUCAGCAUACUGCGGUGAAUACGUUCCCGGGCCUUGUACACACCGCCCGUCACACCAUGGAAGUUGGCCACGCCCGAAGUCGUUACUCCAACCCUUGUGGAGGAGGAUGCCGAAGGUGGGGCUGAUGACUGGGGUGAAGUCGUAACAAGGUAGCCGUACCGGAAGGUGCGGCUGGAUCACCUCCUAA
rnacentral:rRNA from 1 species